rnacentral:misc_RNA from 1 species
GAUGAAGAACGCAGCGAAAUGCGAUAAGUAAUGUGAAUUGCAGAAUUCAGUGAAUCAUCGAAUCUUUGAACGCACAUUGCGCCCGCCAGCACUCUGGCGGGCAUGCCUGUUCGAGCGUCAUUUCACCACUCAAGCCUCGCUUGGUAUUGGGCAACACGGUCCGCCGCGUGCCUCAAAUCGACCGGCUGGGUCUUCUGUCCCCUAAGCGUUGUGGAAACUAUUCGCUAAAGGGUGUUCGGGGAGGCUACGCCGUAAAACAACCCCAUUUCUAAGGUUGACCUCGGAUCAGGUAGGGAUACCCGCUGAACUUAAGCAUAUCAAUAAGCGGAGGA